CGCCAGGGAACUACAGGCACCAGCUUAAAACCCAAAGGACUUGGCGGUACUUCAAAUCCCCCUAGAGGAGCCUGUUCUUGAACCGAUAACCCCCGUUUAACCUCUCCACCCCUAGCCAACCCCGCCUAUAUACCGCCGUCGCCAGCUUACCCUCUUCCAAUGACCUAUAGUAAGCACAACAGAUAUAAUCUAAAACGUCAGGUCAAGGUGUAGCGCAUGGGGCGGAUAAAAAUAGGCUACAUUUCCUACCUCAGGACACUGCGAAAGAUGAUUCAUGAAAUAUGAGCUUCAGAAGCUGAAUUUAGUAGUAAGAAGAAAACAGAGUGUUCUCCUGAA
rnacentral:rRNA from 1 species